GUUUGUCUCCUGCUGUCCGCGUUUCUUCUGAGUCUUCAGGGAAGGAGAUGCUCUUAUUCUGGAGAGAGGUCACUCUUAGCACUGACCGAACGGGCAUCUGCACAAGCGCCGCGCCGUAGGGAAAAUGCCCGCUGAAGUUCAGCUGGUUUCAACACAGUGCAAAAAUACACGUAAUGUCAGUGGAUACAGUCGCAUUCGCAGAAAUCUCCUAAAUACGGAAUUGAACUGCGUAUGAGAUAGGCAGAAUUGUGUCCCUCUAAUUGAAUUUCUGCUUAGAUAUUCUGAAUCGUGGGAAUGAGGAAUUUAGUGUUGAGCAACAAUUUAAGUCUGGACACAUAAAAGAAAAAGGACAUAUAAAAAUAUAUCAGAUUUAUGUCUAUUUUUGACAGGCUUGACUGUUUCUCCAGCACAUCUCCAAAAGCCUGAGUAAUCCCCUUCAGUUCCUCGAUUUUCCUGUUGAGCUGUUUUAACAAUUUGAUAUGUCAGACCUCCAAUUCAAUAUGUUAAUUCAGAACCAACCACUUAAAAGAAAAUACAACUCAUUAAAGUGAAUGAGUUUUUUGCCACUUUUAUAAUAGACGUUAUUAAGAAAGCAUAGUGUCUUUCGUGAUGCGCUCAAGCCCUUUGUGCCACCCUGUGUUAGUCAAUGCUGUUGGGAAUGACAUUUGCCCUCUUUCAAAUUAAACAGAA